UACGAAGGGGGCUAGCGUUGCUCGGAAUGACUGGGCGUAAAGGGCGCGUAGGCGGUUUGGACAGUUAGGCGUGAAAUUCCUGGGCUCAACCUGGGGGCUGCGCUUAAUACAUCCAGACUGGAGUGUGAAAGAGGGUCGUGGAAUUCCCAGUGUAGAGGUGAAAUUCGUAGAUAUUGGGAAGAACACCGGUGGCGAAGGCGGCUCACUGGACUGGUAUUGACGCUGAGGUGCGAAAGCGUGGGGAGCAAACAGG
rnacentral:rRNA from 1 species